rnacentral:rRNA from 1 species
ACGCUCGACACCUACGGAGGCAGCAGUGGGGAAUAUUGCACAAUGGGGGAAACCCUGAUGCAGCGAUGCCGCGUGAAGGAAGAAGUAUCUCGGUAUGUAAACUUCUAUCAGCAGGGAAGAAAAUGACGGUACCUGACUAAGAAGCCCCGGCUAACUACGUGCCAGCAGCAGCGGUAAUCUGAGCGGGCUGGCAAGGC